rnacentral:rRNA from 1 species
UAGUAAUCGCGAAUCAGAAUGUCGCGGUGAAUACGUUCCCGGGCCUUGUACACACCGCCCGUCACACCAUGAGAGCCGAUAACACCCGAAGCCUGUGAGCCAACCGUAAGGGGGCAGCAGUCGAAGGUGGGGUUGGUGAUUGGGGUGAAGUCGUAACAAGGUAGC